AAUCAACGCUGGCGGCGUGCCUAACACAUGCAAGUUGAGCGCUUGAGGGGGCAACCCCAAGAGAGCAGCGAACGGGUGAGUAACGCGUGGGUGAUCUUCCUUCGAGUAGGGAACAACAUCGGGAAACUGGUGCUAAUUCCGCAUAACACCCUGGGGCUACGAGCCUCAGGAUCAAAGCCGGGGACCGCAAGGCCUGGCGCUUGAAGAUGAGCCCGCGUCCGAUUAGCUAGUUGGCGGGGUAAUGGCCCACCAAGGCUUCGAUCGGUAGCCGGCCUGAGAGGGCGGACGGCCACACUGGAACUGAGACACGGUCCAGACUCCUACGGGAGGCAGCAGUGGGGAAUUUUUCGCAAUGGGCGAAAGCCUGACGAAGCAACGCCGCGUGGAGGAUGAAGGUCUUCGGAUUGUAAACUCCUGUCGACCGGGACGAAUGCACCCGACCUAAUACGUCGGAGUGUUGACGGUACCGGUGGAGGAAGCCACGGCUAACUCUGUGCCAGCAGCCGCGGUAA
rnacentral:rRNA from 1 species